UACGUAGGUGGCGAGCGUUGUCCGGAUUUACUGGGUGUAAAGGGCGUGUAGGCGGGUUAGUAAGUCAGAUGUGAAAUUCCGAGGCUCAACCUCGGCGCUGCAUCUGAAACUGCAAAUCUUGAGUGCUGGAGAGGAAAGCGGAAUUCCUAGUGUAGCGGUGAAAUGCGUAGAUAUUAGGAGGAACACCAGUGGCGAAGGCGGCUUUCUGGACAGUAACUGACGCUGAGGCGCGAAAGCGUGGGGAGCAAACAGG
rnacentral:rRNA from 1 species